CCUGGAAGACAAAAACAUGUUUCCGGGGUUGAAGAACAGCUCUUUACCCUGUGGUGUUAAACUGUUAAUAGGGCUCUAAAAAGCCGGAGACCGAAAGAAAAUUCAACAGCAGAUAAGUGAUUCUCUUCACAAGACGAGGCCGAGGCUGGGAUCCCUGUUUGGAGUCUUUUUACCUGAGAGCCGUGGAAAAUCGGAUGCUGCACCGCCCUGUGACCGAGUCCGCGUAAAUACCGCAGGCAGCGAUCGGAACCCCCUAGAAGAUCAGGCAGAAACCCCAAAAUUCUAAAUUUGGGCUCUACAGUCUCUAAGAUCCUGCUGAGUGAGAACGCUCAGGAUUUUAGAUUAGGGAUCCUGUCGCCUCGGAUUUCGGUUUCUCUUUUCUGGUCGGCACAGAAAGCGAGGUCUGAAAAAUGCAUUUAGGGCGUGAAUGGAAGGGAGGAGAUCUGGCCCUUCUUACUGAUGUUAAAGCUUUGCUGUUUUCUCUCAAAGAAUAUUAAGACUCUCGGAUGCUGCUGGAGCCUGCCAUCUUUUCUGAAAUAGAAGUGAUCAAACUACAUUUUAGAGAGAACAAACAAAGCAAACACCUCAGUUCCAGAAAAUACGUGGCCACCACUGCAGAAGAAAUGUAAAGCUCUCGGAGGACAGUCUGGAACCAGCUGCUCUGCCCUGCCCUAAGAACAGUAACUGAUGUUUGCUGACCGCUUACUACGCCCCAGAUGCUGUGCCAAGUUUCCCUCUUUUGACCCUCCCGACAACCCCGUGAGGAACUGUUCACUUGAAAACUCAAGGACGACCCUCAGCAGGACUUCAGAGCUCUCGCUCUCUCUCUGUGUCUCUGCCAUCUGCCCUGCAAACUCCAGAUGCUUUGGACCCCCAGCUCCAUGCCUUCAACUCCAUGAGACAGCUGAAGCCUUCUGGGUUUCCUCUUGCUACACAGCAGCAUGGAGUCUCUCUUCUCUAGACAACAGUGGAGGCCACUUGUUGGACUCAUCUUGUUUGUUUCCCAUUUCUCAGGGAUCAAUAUCCUUUGCUGCCUGAUGUCUGAAGUCUUGUGUGAUAUUUUCUCAAAUACGUCGCCUAGUUUUUUAGUUGUUUCAAAUGGAAGGGUAAAUCUGGUCCC